AUGCUUCCUUCGGCAGCACCUACACUAAAAUUGGGAUGAUAUACAGAAGGCAGGCAUGGCCGCUGUGCAAGAAUGACACGCAAAGGUGUGCAGCAUCCCAUAUUUUU
ensembl:snRNA U6 U6 spliceosomal RNA